rnacentral:lncRNA from 1 species
UUUCCCCUUGCUACAGCUUUGUUAACUCAGAGAUUUGUCCAACUUGAAAUUUUAGGCAGUGUCUUUGUCGGAAAUUGAAAUUUCGCGUAUGAAAGAUUCUAUGAGUUAGUAAACUAAAACUCAAAUGCUAGAAGAAAAAACUUUCUCGUUUUAAUAAAAGUUUUGUCAAAUUGCUUCCUAACGCUAGCUGCCUCAGUUGACUGAAAAUAAAAUAAUAAUGAAACAUAAUUGGAAACUCUUUUUUUUUAAUGAUGUUUCAAUUUGCUAAAGUUAUAACAGCUCAGAGUUUCGUUUAAAAUUGGAGCACUUUAGUUAGUCGAAAAGUGCUCUCUAUUUCCCCUCAAGAAAGAACUGAUUAAUAAAGUUGGCAGAUUGGGUUGUCUAUUUAAGUAGCUACGACAUUCGACAACUUUAUUUAAAAGGGUUCCAUGGACUGCUUUGAUGUUAAUUCUUUUAAAAUGUGGUGAGAUAAUGAAGACAAAAGUACAUUUUACAAAGAAAUUUAUGAGAAAUGCAGCAUCCUCUGUACUGGAAUAAAUG